rnacentral:rRNA from 1 species
UACGUAGGGUGCAAGCGUUGUCCGGAAUUAUUGGGCGUAAAGAGCUCGUAGGCGGUCUGUUGCGUCGGCUGUGAAAACCCGGGGCUCAACCUCGAGAUGUCGGCGGAAACCAUUUGGCUAGAGUCCGGAAGAGGAAAGUGGAAUUCCUGGUGUAGCGGUGAAAUGCGCAGAUAUCAGGAAGAACACCCGUGGCGAAGGCGGCUUUCUGGGACGGUACUGACGCUGAGACGCGAAAGCGUGGGGAGCAAACAGG